AGUUCCUACUCGGACUUUAACCAAAACUAAUGGCUUGAAAACCAUCGUUGUAAUUCAACUACGGGAAC
rnacentral:tRNA from 1 species